UACGGGGGGGGCAAGCGUUGUUCGGAAUUACUGGGCGUAAAGGGCUCGUAGGUGGCCAACUAAGUCGGACGUGAAAUCCCUCAGCUUAACUGGGGAACUGCGUCCGAUACUGGAUGGCUUGAGUUUGGGAGAGGGAUGCGGAAUUCCAGGUGUAGCGGUGAAAUGCGUAGAUAUCUGGAGGAGCACCGGUGGCGAAGGCGGCAUCCUGGACCAACACUGACACUGAGGAGCGAAAGCCAGGGGAGCAAACGGG
rnacentral:rRNA from 1 species